GACGAACGCUGGCGGCGUGCUUAACACAUGCAAGUCGAACGGAAAGGCCCUGCUUGCAGGGUACUCGAGUGGCGAACGGGUGAGUAACACGUGGGUGAUCUGCCCUGCACUUCGGGAUAAGCCUGGGAAACUGGGUCUAAUACCGGAUAGGAGCCAUUUUUAGUGUGAUGGUUGGAAAGUUUUUUCGGUGUAGGAUGAGCUCGCGGCCUAUCAGCUUGUUGGUGGGGUAAUGGCCUACCAAGGCGGCGACGGGUAGCCGGCCUGAGAGGGUGGACGGCCACAUUGGGACUGAGAUACGGCCCAGACACCUACGGGAGGCAGCAGUGGGGAAGAUUGCACAAUGGGCGCAAGCCGGAUGCAGCGACGCCGCGGGGGGGAUGACGGUCUUCGGGUUGUAAACUCCUUUCGCUAGGGACGAAGCUUUUUGUGACGGUACCUAGAUAAGAAGCACCGGCUAACUACGUG
rnacentral:rRNA from 1 species